rnacentral:rRNA from 1 species
AUUGAACGCUGGCGGCAGGCCUAACACAUGCAAGUCGAGCGGAGCGGGGACGGGUGAGUAACACGUGGGUAACCUCCCAUCAGAGGGGAUAACACUUGGAAACAGGUGCUAAACCGAUACUGAUGGAUGAACCCGGGGUGCAUUAGCUAGUUGGUGAGGAAACGGCUCACCAAGGCCACGAUGCAUAGCCGACCUGGGAGGGGGGUCGGCCACACUGGGACUGAGACACGGCCCGGACUCCUACGGGAGGCAGCAGUAGUGAAUCUUCGGCAAUGGACGAAAGUCUGACCGAGCAACGCCGCGUGAGUGAAGAAGGUUUUCGGAUCGUAAAACUCUGUUGUUAGAGAAGCGGUAUCUAACCAGAAAGCCACGGCUAACUACGUGCCAGCAGCCGCGGUAAUUC